rnacentral:ncRNA from 2 species
AUCGGCGCGGUCGCGACAGGUUCCCCGGUGACGGGGAUGAAAAGGGAACGGGGUUCGAAACCUCGGCUGCCCCUGCAACUGUGAGCGGCGAGCCAUCGGGCCACAUGCCAUUGGGAACCUGGUUCCCGAGAAGGCGGCCCGAACCGGUGAUGACCCGCAAGCCAGGAGACCUGCCCGUCGCGGUCGUCUUUC